UUUGAAGACACAGAAGUCACUGUAAUAACGCACAUGUCAAGUGACAUGUGCGUUAUUACAGUGACCUUCUGUGUCUUCAAUUUGAAGACAC
rnacentral:pre_miRNA from 1 species